AUGAGGUGGGGGACGGCGCUUGGCUGGCCUCUUCGUGCUCCCAUUCGCCCCCUUUCCUCUCGAUCUCCUCUCCUCUCACCACCGACGCUCCUCUUCCUCGAUCUGCCGCCAUUCUUCAAGUGGCCUUCCCCUUUCUCCUCCUCUACGCCGCCGUUGCCCGUUCUCCUUCUCCCGCAUCUCCUCCCCGUCGUCAGGCGCGCUGUGCCGCCAUCCUUCCUCCUCCCCAUCGGGGCCAGGCAGAGGAGGAGGAGCGUGGUGCGCGGACACGACGAGGAGGCAGCCGGCGUCAGCGCGCGCCGCCCGGCCAAGGUCUUUUCCUGCAUGCGCGACCUCCUCGCCAAGCCCUUCCCAUACGCGCGGGUCCUCGGCUCCUCGCUGCCUGGCUCUACCUCUACUGCGACCUCGUCCAAGACGCCCGCGGCGCCGCCGCCGUCCGCGCCGACGACGGCCAGAUCCAACACCGUUGAGGAGACCGUCGCCAUGGUGCUCCACUAUGCCUCGGGGAUCGACCAACCCCACGACGCCGCCGCCGUCUCCUUCGUCCAGCCGGCACGCCGCCGCCGUCUCCUUCGCCCAGCCGGCACCCCGCCGCCGUCUCCUUCGCCCAGCCUGUCGGAUCUCCAUCGUUCACUUCCCCGGCGUCGUCGUCGUCUUCGCGUGCACACGACAGGAGGUGUGCGACCCUCCUCUCUCGCGCACUGCGGCUGCUUCGCCCCGCCAUCGUUCCUCGGGUGUGGUCGCGCCUGUCUUCCUACCGCGUCGUCGCUCCUCCUCCAGGCCGCCGACGGCACCCGUCCUCCUCCCUCAUCCUCUCCAGGUGGCUGGGACGCUUUACGGUUUGAUCUCAAUGAGGUCGCCAUCAAGCUCAGUCAGAACACCUCGCACGGCAGGACGCCACACCGCUCCUCGAUGGCCGCCACAAGUGCGUCCGCCGUCAUCAAAUCGCCACCAUCUCCGGCGACCGUCGCCAUCAGCACGUGCCCACGGUAG
rnacentral:rRNA from 1 species